GACGAACGCUGGCGGCGUACCUAAUACAUGCAAGUCGAGCGGACAGAAGGGAGCUUGCUCCCGGAAGUCGGCGGCGGACGGGUGAGUAACACGUGGGCAACCUGCCCGUAAGACUGGGAUAACUUCGGGAAACCGGAGCUAAUACCGGAUAGGUUCUUCCCCCGCAUGGGGGAAGAUGGAAAGACGGUUUCGGCUGUCACUUACAGAUGGGCCCGCGGCGCAUUAGCUAGUUGGUGGGGUAAUGGCCCACCAAGGCGACGAUGCGUAGCCGACCUGAGAGGGUGAUCGGCCACACUGGGACUGAGGCACGGCCCAGACUCCUACGGGAGGCAGCAGUAGGGAAUCUCCCGCAAUGGACGAAAGUCUGACGGAGCAACGCCGCGUGAGCGAAGAAGGCCUUCGGGUCGUAAAGCUCUGUUGUCAGGGAAGAGCAAGUGCCAGAGUAACUGCUGGCACCUUGACGGUACCUGACCAGAAAGCCACGGCUAACUACGUGCCAGCCGCCGCAGUAACAC
rnacentral:rRNA from 1 species